AUGAAGGAUAAACAAUCUGAUAUUUGUGCCAAUGAUCUGUUUGUUGAGUUGAAGUUCCUUCAAAAUUUCAUGCCAAAAGAAAAUAUCGGACAUGUUGAAAUUCUGAAUUUUUUAAAGCGGCAUGACUGUUUUCCCAAUGCAAGUAUUGCAUAUAGAGUUUUGUUGACCAUUCCUGUGAAAGUUGCAUCGGCAGAAAGAAGUUUUUCUAAGUUGAAGCUAUUGAAGUCCUAUAUGCGUACUACUAUGACACAAUAG
rnacentral:rRNA from 1 species